rnacentral:rRNA from 1 species
AGCGAACGCUGGCGGCAGGCCUAACACAUGCAAGUCGAACGAACCUUUCGGGGUUAGUGGCGGACGGGUGAGUAACACGUGGGAACGUGCCUUUAGGUUCGGAAUAACUCAGGGAAACUUGUGCUAAUACCGAAUGUGCCCUUCGGGGGAAAGAUUUAUCGCCUUUAGAGCGGCCCGCGUCUGAUUAGCUAGUUGGUUGAGGUAAUGGCUCACCAAGGCGACGAUCAGUAGCUGGUCUGAGAGGAUGAUCAGCCACAUUGGGACUGAGACACGGCCCAAACUCCUACGGGAGGCAGCAGUGGGGAAUCUCGCGCAAUGGGCGAAAGCCUGACGCAGCCAUGCCGCGUGAAUGAUGAAGGUCUUAGGAUUGUAAAAUUCUUUCACCGGGGACGAUAAUGACGGUACCCGGAGAAGAAGCCCCGGCUAACUUCGUG